UUUCACUUUGUGCAAUGAAAAGAAUGAGAGAGACUCACCAAAUCGUCAUCUAAAGCCAAAACAAGUGCACCUGCCAUUCCUAAAACAUUUUCUCCUUUGCUGUCAAAAUCAAUGUACGCUGCUUCUACGCAAUCAUAUAUUCCUUCC